CCCGGUCGAGGACACAAAGGAGUCCCAAAGCGAGCGAUUUCGAGGCUCGUCGAGGGAACGGGAUCGAAGGGGUGGUUCCUCUUGGUUUUCACCGGUCUCGACCCGAAACCCCAAGAGUCUCGAUCUGUACGUUCGGGGACAAAGUUAAUCGGAUCGUUUUUCUUGGGACAGGUCCCGUAAAAUGCGAUACGAGGAAGAAACGUCGAGUUCGGAGAUCGAGCGCAAGAACGUACCGAUUGCUCGCGGGACGAUGUACGUACAUACCUCGAGGCCGAAGAAUAGAACCGUCCAGCCAUAGAGAAUGCUGGAGUACCGCGGAGCGAAGAUACGUUUCCAAAGACCUGAAAAACAUGUGACGCCGAUCGAGAGAAAGAUGACGAGAUCGUGGGAAUGAUCGUCGGGGUAAUUCAUUGCUAGACUACGUUGUCAGGGAAUCGAUCAAAUCGUAGUAUCUGGCUCGUUACAACUACGACUCUUUUAUCAGCCGAUCCUCUCCACGCGUUGGAACGGUAGAUACGGAUCUUUCGUGCUCGUUCGAUCACGCGUCGAUGCCGCUACCCGUUAAAAAGAGAUAUUUAAUUUUCUUAUUGGUUACGUUCUCGAAAAUAACUUCGGUUAAGAUUCGAAUAGUCGAUACGUAACCGUAUCUGGGGAAUUUAGAUAGUAAUUUCUGCGACGCGCCAUCGAUCGUGCAUCCCGAGAGGCGCAAAGAUUAAAGAUUUAAUUAUUGCGUUCACGUAAUUCAUGAGGUAUUUCUUUCUAGCUUCGAUCCGGUUCCUUUACUUUUAGGUGAAAGGCGUAAAAGUAAUUGCGUCCGGUGAAAAUCCCUCGGAAGGUGUGAGCAAAAGGAGCGUUUCUUUGUAUGUACACCGCUGUUAAGAGGAAAGUUUUACCGAGGAGGCUUCAGUUUCUGUCCAUUGUUGGGGAGUGUCCUAGUCUUUGAGGAAAAGACGAGCCGAUUUACGCAUUCGGUUCUCGGAAGAUGUACAAGGAAUUCGCAACCUGCGUGCGAUGAAAUUACGUUAACCAUUUAUUUGUGGAAGUCCUCGCGUGGAUGAUAAAUCGAUAUCGGAGUAAUGAGUAUCGGAAGAAGUAUCCGCUUAUCAUAUGCGAAUGCGUUUUUAUUUUUUUUUCAUUAGCGUAAGAAAAGAAGAACAGUGGGAAGUAACUCUUUAUCGCGUUUUAAUAAGUUGACGCGCAAAUACUCGACACCUUAUUCGAUCGAUCUGUAUGGCCGGUGCAAUUUUGUAGUAAAAAUAUAACGAUCUCUUAAAAGAAGAGAUCGGAUUUUAUCGA